rnacentral:tRNA from 1 species
ACACUCGUAGCUCAGCUAGGUUAGAGCAGCUGACUCUUAAUCAGCAGGUCACUGGUUCGAUUCCAGUCGGGUGUA